rnacentral:rRNA from 1 species
AAACUAACAAGGAUUCCCCUAGUAACGGCGAGUGAAGCGGGAAGAGCUCAAAUUUGUAAUCUGGCACUUUCAGUGUCCGAGUUGUAAUCUCGAGAAGUAUUUUCCGCGCCGGACUGCAUACAAGUCUGUUGGAAUACAGCGUCAUAGUGGUGAGAACCCCGUAACUGAUGCAGAUGCCCGGUGCUUUGUGAUAUACUUUCGAAGAGUCGAGUUGUUUGGGAAUGCAGCUCAAAUUGGGUGGUAAAUUCCAUCUAAAGCUAAAUAUUGGAGCAAGACCGAUAGCGAACAAGUACCGUGAGGGAAAGAUGAAAAGCACUUUGGAAAGAGAGUUAACAGUACGUGAAAUUGUUGGAAGGGAAACGCUUGAAGUCAGACUUGCUAUUCGGAGUUCAGCCGCAAGGUGUAUUCUUCGAUUUGCAGGCCAGCAUCAGUUUUCGGGGGUGGAAAAUCGUGGUUUGAAGGUAGCAACUUCGGUUGUGUUAUAGCUUUCCACUGGAUUCAUCUUUGGGGACUGAGGAACGCAGUACGCUUUUUGCAAGGCCCUCGGGCUUUUCGUACUUAGGAUGGUGGCGGAAUGGCUUUAAACGAC